rnacentral:rRNA from 1 species
AAUGCGGGACUCUAAGAGGCCCCGUAAUUGGAAUGAGUACACCUUAAAUCGUUUAACGAGUAUCAAUUGGAGGGCAAGUCUGGUGCCAGCAGCCGCGGUAAUUCCAGCUCCAAUAGCGUAUAUUAAAGUUGCUGCAGUUAAAAAGCUCGUAGUUGGAUCUGGGGCUUGAGGUCGCUGUCUAUCGUUUCGGCGAUGACGGUGAUGCUCAGCUCUGCUUGCCGGUGACUGUUGCGGUGUUCUUAAUUGAGCGCUGUAGCAGCACGGCACGUUUACUUUGAAAAAAAUUAGAGUGCUCAAAGCGUGCUUGUCGCUUGAAUAAUGUUGCAUGGAAUAAUGGAAUAGGACCUCGGUUCUAUUUUGUUGGUUUUCGGAGCUUGAGGUAAUGAUUAAGAGGGACGAACGGGGGCAUUCGUAUUGCGGUGUUAGAGGUGAAAUUCUUGGAUCGCCGCAAGACGGACUACUGCGAAAGCAUUUGCCAAGAACGCUUUCAUUAAUUAAGAACGAAAGUCAGAGGUUCGAAGACGAUCAGACACCGUCCUAGUUCUGACCAUAAACGAUGCCGACCAGCGAUCCGUAGUGGUUGCUUUAUGGACCCUACGGGCAGCCUCCGGGAAACCAAAGUAUUUGGGUUCCGGGGGAAGUAUGGUUGCAAAGCUGAAACUUAAAGGAAUUGACGGAAGGGCACACCAGGAGUGGAGCCUGCGGCUUAAUUUGACACAACACGGGAAAACUCACCCGGUCCGGACACCGUAAGGAUUGACAGACUGAUAGCUCUUUCUUGAUUCGGUGGAUGGUGGUGCAUGGCCGUUCUUAGUUGGUGGAGUGAUUUGUCUGGUUAAUUCCGAUAACGAACGAGACUCUAGCCUGCUAAGUAGUGUGUCUAUUGUGAUAUGGUAUACACUUCUUAGAGGGACAAGUGGCAUUUAGCCACGCGAAAUUGAGCAAUAACAGGUCUGUGAUGCCCUUAGAUGUCCGGGGCCGCACGCGCGCUACACUGGAGAAGUCAGCGUGUGUUAUCCGAGUCCGAAAGGAUUGGGUAAUCCGUUGAACCUUCUUCGUGCUUGGGACUGUGGCUUGGAACUAUUCCACAUGAACGAGGAAUUCCUAGUAAGUGCAAGUCAUUAGCUUGCGUUGAUUACGUCCCUGCCCUUUGUACACACCGCCCGUCGCUACUACCGAUUGAAUGGUUUAGCAAGGUCCUCGGGUCGUGGCCGUAGGGGCACGCAAGUGUUUCUGCGGUUUGCGAGAAGACGACCAAACUUGAUCAUUUAGA